UAAACUUCCUUUGUAGCAGUGCCUUGAAUACCUCUUUUCUCUGUCCUUUCCCCCCCCCCCCCUUAGAAUGGCUGUUCUGUGUUCAGGGAGGGCCAAACAGCUCGGGGAGGGCUAGGAGGGAGGUGAGGGUCAGAGCUCCUAGGGGCGUGGGUGCUGCCUAAGAGCUUUCAUCUUCCCAGGAGCAACCCUGGACCAUGCAUCUCUCUCUCUCCCAGGCUUUCCCCUGGCCUCUAAGCCUCAGUGAAAGGCAAGCUGUAAACGCAGGAUUUCCUCAUUCAGUCCCACCAGCCUGCACGGGUGCUUCCCUGCUGGCCAGCAAAGCAGCUUCUUAGUAAGGACUGGACGGAACUAGAACAGAAAACCUCUGCUCAGGGAAGAGACUGGUGUCUAGUGGUGAGAGCUGCAGGGGGUACUGGGAAUCGGGACUCCUAGGUUCUAUCCCUGGCUCUGGGCGUGGGGUAGUUUAGGGCAGGAGGAGGGGACACAGAUGACUUGGGAAACCACCUUGGUCUGAAAAAAUGCUGUCCCGGUAUGGGUGGGAUCCUGCAAACACGUGCAGUGUGGGACUUCCCACAGAGUACAGUCAGAUCUGUGUUUUGUCUGCUUGAGGUACAACUCUGCACAACUGCUCAGAGGAGGGGGACCCAAGUGAGCACAGUUACUUCUGUGGCCUGGUGUUUGCUGGGCUGGGAGCUCGUACAGCUGCAAAUCACCCUGAAGGGAGGAGAGCCUGUCAGCUGGCCCCAGAGCCAGCCAAUGGAGUUGGAUUACGCAAGGUCAUAACGUGUCUGUCCAAGUUCCCGGGAAAUACAAGCCUCCAAGAAAAGUUCAACCAUUGUCCCCGUGUGUGUGGAAGGAGACAGACGCAUUUAGCAGCUGCUACUCAGAGCAAUGUGGGGACUGAAGACACUGAUCUUUCUUGAGUCCCUCUGGCUGACUGCAGGGUGUGGACAGGUGGCAGGGCCUGGAGCCUGUCGCCUCUAUAACCUGUCUGUGCCUGAAGGCUCCUCUGGGCAUGUUGAAAUUAACAUACCUAAGAAUAUAUCUACCUUGUAUAAGAUGCAAACCAACAUUAUGGCCGCUGCCUCCGACUCUGCUUGUCACCCCAUCCUGGUGCUAACUGAUAAAGGAAAGCGGAACUAGUACAACAGCACAUACCGGGGACGGAUCUCUCUGUCAGACCGACUCCUCUUUACUGUGAAGAAUGCAAGUGAAUGGAUGACAGGAGAAUACCAAGUCACUGGUGACCUUCAUGGAACCUGCAUGGCUCGUAUCAAUCUGACAGUGCCUGGUCCUAUCUCAUUCCCACCAUCUCUAUUGGAGACUCCCACUGCCAGAGAGGGGGCUGCCAGCCCAACUGGAGAGGGAAGUAGCCGAGGGAUGCUUUCCAACAUCUCUCUCUUGGGGGAGCCAAGAGGCCGCUAUGGCAUGUGGAUAUCGUUGGGGUUCAUCGCUGCUUUGUUUACUGCUGCUACACUUUAUGUCUGCUGGAGACAUGGGCGAGAAGGAUCAGAAACCCAUCGUGGUUGUGAAAAGGAAGGGAUCUCAGACUCGACAGACACCUGUUUGCAUGCUGGCCCAUGUCUCACAUCUGCACGAGGCUGGAACCCAAGAUGGAGAGGCUGGUGAGGAGAUCCGACUGAACGAAGAGGUGGUACAGCCCUGGGAACUGAGCUGGCUGCCCCAACACAGCCAAGAGGCAGCACUUUAAUAACGUUGAAUGGCCGAGGUGCAGGCACCUCGUGUGUGUGUAUGUGUGUGAUCGGUCACUAUGGGGCCCUGACUGGAGGCUCCCUCGUAAUAUUAAUAAUCAUAAGAAAGGCUACGAAUCUGUGAUGGAGUUCAGACACUGAUUCUUUUUUUAAAAAAAUGAGCCUUCCAUGGCUUCUUGAAAAUGCCAGUAAUUCAACCCCAGGCAGCAGGGUUUGGGCAUCAGUGAUUUAUUAUUUCCUGUGUCCUGUCACAGGAGUUUUCAUAAAAAUACCUGUGCCAAAAUCGUAGCCUUGAUCAUAAGUAAAUGUGAUUGUUUGUUUUUUUUAAUGUUUUUACUAUUGUAUUUAUCUCUGUGCCCAGAUUUCUAUUUAGACUAUAAACUAUAAAGCAGAGGGAGUGUCUCAUUUAUCUUUGCACAGGGGGGCACUGAUCUCUGCUGAAGACUUGAUGCGACUGUAAUAAACACAAUAAUAAAAUCA